GAUGAACGCUAGCUACAGGCUUAAUACAUGCAAGUCGAGGGACCGGCGCACGGGUGAGUAACACGUAUCCAACCUGCCCUUUACUCGUGGAUAGCCUUUCCACAGAAAGAUUAAUACCCGAUAUAAAGGAUGGGGAUGCGUUCCAUUAUGUGGUUGGUGAGAUAACGGCACACCAAGCCUUCGAUGGAUAGGGGUGCUGAGAGGAAGGUCCCCCACAGUGUAACUGCGAUACGGUCCAAACGCGUACGGGAGGCAGAAGUGAGGAAGAUUGGGCAAUGGGCGUUAGUCUGAAACAGCCAAGUAGCGUGAAGGAUGAAGGCUUAUGAGUAGUAAUCUUCUUGUAUAGAAGAAUAUGUAUUAUAUGAAUAAGGAUCGGCUAACUCCGUGCCAGCAGCCGCGGUAAUAC
rnacentral:rRNA from 1 species